ACUACUAUUUAGUGUCAACUGCAAGACGCUGUGUUAAAAGUAAACAAAUAAAUUAUUAAAAUCACGUCAAAGUCUAAUUAAGCGUUAAUAGAAUAAUGAAAAUUUAUUGAAAUGGCUCAAACUAACACAACUGGGACAUCAUCUAGGCGUCAGCACCCAAGAGAUCAUGAUGCCGCCUCCAUUACUUCUUCCAGAAUUGCCGAUAUUUCCGAAUGGGAAGCUAAUGAGGCACUACGACAAAGAGAGCUUGAAGAAGCUAAAGGUAGAGCCGCACAAAUGGAAAAAACCAUGAGAUGGUGGUCUGAUUGCACCGCAAAUUGGAGAGAAAAAUGGAGUAAAGUUCGCAAUGAACGAAAUAAAGCAAGAGAAGAAUGUAAACAAAUGCGUGCAAAACUAGAAGCAGUAUUAAAAGAAACAAAUAGUUGCAAAAGAGAUAAAGAAGAAUUGGAAAAACAAAAUGAUCAGCUCAAAAAAGAAAUUGAAAAAGUCCAUAUUUUAUUAUUGAAACAUGCAGGUCAAUUCGAUUCUCAGAUCCUUGAAGCUUUGAGUGAUGAUCCACUUAAAGAUUUUGUGUUUAGUAACAAUUCACCCAUGAAAGAGAGAGAAAACGGCGUCACUUCAUCACAAUCAAAUCCGGAAUGUGAUAGUACAGUUGAACAAAAUUUAGAUAGUUCCGUUUUUGAAGAAUAUAUUUUACAAGGAGCUGUACCUAGAUAUAAAGAACUUAAUAAGAAAUUAAAUUCCGUCGAACCAGAAGCUCCUAACGGAAUAGAAAAACUUUCCAAUGAUUAUGAAGAAGAUUAUAUUUUACAAAAAUUAUCCAUGCUGCAAUUGAGGUUGGAAGAAGCUACAAAAACUUUACAGAUAGAAAGAGAAGAAAAAUCUCAUCUACAUAAAAGUAUUGAGCGGCUUCAUUGCGAACUACAGGAAGCAAAAGACAAAUGUGAUGAAAUUAGAGAAGCCAAACAAGAUACAAUGCGAGAAAUUUUAUUACUCCAAGAUCAGCAUCAAAAAGAAUUGCAAUUAAUUAAAGCUGAUUUACAAGAUGAGGCAAGCUCCAGGGAGGGAAUGGAUAAAAGACUGAAUGAUUUGAGAGCAGAGUUGGAACGGUUACAAGCAGAAAAUGCAGCAGAAUGGGGUAAAAGAGAAAGAUUAGAAACAGAAAAACUAGCAAUAGAAAGAGAUAAUAAAAAACUUCGGAGUGAAUUAAGGGACAUGCAAGAAAGAUUAGAACGAAAAGGACGGCCUAUCACUAAUUCUGAUGUUGAAAUUAGACACUUACAACAAGAAUUACUAGAUAAAAACAAAGAAAUAACCGAAUUGAAACAUUCCCAAAUCAAAUUGAAAAAGAUGGUUCAAGAUAAGAUGACUGAGCUAGCUCAUGCUGUUCGAAGAGCUGAACAAUACGAGAAUGAAGUUAAAAAACUUCGAACUAGAGUAGAAGAACUGAAAAGAGAUUUAGCAGUAGCCGAAGAUGAAUUAGACAGUGCCACGAAUAAUAUUAGGAAAAUCCAAAGAACUAAUGAUGAAUUACAAGAACAAGUGGAUAAUUUUCAAUUACAGCUUCAACAUCUUCAUUCAAGUAUGGAAAAGGAAGAUGGUGGUGAGGAAAUGGCUCAAUACGAUGAAAAUGAUUGUUUGCAUGGCUGUAGUUUUUCUUAUGUCAAGUAAAGGAUGGAAACCAUCAAGCUUUCUAAUCUUAUCAUGCUUAAUUAAGUUGCAUGAAAAUAUUAUACAUGAAGGUUACGUAACUGCAGUUCAUCCAGUUUGUUGAUUCAUCGAAGUACGAAUUUAGAAGAAGGUAGCGACGAUGACAUUCAUGAGUUUUUGUAGGAUAUUCCGAAUUCAAACUAUUAUAUUAAACUAUUGAGCAACAAGAUUUGUACAAUGUUCAUUUAAGUUAUUUAUUAUUUUUUUAUCCUAUCUAAAUAUGGAAAAUAAUUAUGUAAAUUUGAAAAUAUAUAUUUUAUUUUCUAUAAAA